CCUGCAAAAAUUGAUAAAAAAAAUAGUAACAACACAUAUGCAGAAUUUAAUGAAGCAUAACAAAAGCCCAUUCGUUCCCCUUUGUGUCAAUGUUAGUGUUUGUAUCAGGGCCUUCUUUAACCUCAUGACAACAGUGGAACACGAAUGCCUGCAGAGAAUAGCGGGAGUAAAGGCCUGAAUUGAAAUAUUAGCAGGUGCAUAUUCCAGCUGCUGACAUUAUGAG